rnacentral:snRNA from 1 species
AGCUUCGUGCAGUGGCAGUAUCAUAGCCAAUGAGGUUUAUCCGAGGUGCGAUUAUUGCUAAUUGAAGAAAAAACAAACAAAA